ACACGAAGAAGACACCGGCUAACUACCGUGCCAGCAGCCGCGGUAAUACGGAGGGUGCGAGCGUUAAUCGGAAUUACUGGGCGUAAAGACGCAUGCAGGCGGCCUCGUUAAGUCAGAUGUGAAAGCCCGGGGCUUAACCUCGGAAUUGCAUUUGAAACUGGCAGGCUAGAGUCUUGUAGAGGGGGGUAGGAAUUUCAGGUGUAGCGGUGAAAUGCGUAGAGAUCUGAAGGAAUACCAGUGGCGAAGGCGGCCCCCUGGACAAAGACUGACGCUCAGAUGCGAAAGCGUGGGGAGCAAACAGGAUUAGAUACCCUGGUAG
rnacentral:rRNA from 1 species